GAUCUUAGUUUAAAAGGCAAGACAUGAAAGCAUUGCAUCUUCAAUGAUUCUAUAUACAAAAGAAAAGAAUUUGAUAAUAUCAUGACUCAAUGAUGCUGAUCCUUUUAGAAUUGACAACACUGUCAUACUCAUUACUACAGCAGCAAGUAUCUUAAUAAAUAUAUGCUAAAAUGUGAUCUAAUUCAUGUUAAUUCAUCAAUAUACAUUAAGGAGAGGGUUAAUUGCGGAUAGACCCCAACACUAAAUCAUGAAGUCUUCACCCCCAGCUUUUUCUGCAGGCCUCUUUGCUGGUUGUCCUCCAUUUUUUUAUUCCCUUUGUCACACCAAACCCUAGGUGUACACUGAAGGGGGAUUUUCUUUUAGGCCUCUCUCCCUUCAUUUUUAACUUCAUCUUUUUUGGAUCAUUUUGAUAUCAAAAUCGAGGUCGUAAUUGUGAACGCAUGUCAAAUGAUAUUUGUUUCAGUGCUUUAUGUGUUGAUGUGUAUUUGAAUGUUAGGCUUAAGUUGACAGAGAAAUUCUUGCAUUACAUCCAAAAAAGAAGAAGAAGAAGAACAUGUUGUAUGCAUAGAACUAUUCAUGAUGGAUGGAUUUACACUUUAUACAUAGUUAAAUUGUACAUUGUUCAAAAUGAAGUGAGUUAACAACUAGCUCAACAUAAGCAACUCCGGGCAAGUUCAUUGAUGUAAUGAAAGUGAACCAUGGUGAAAAAUUAAUGCAAGUGGGUUAUUCCUUGACAUAUUUCAAUACAAGUAUUAGAAUUUGUCCUUUUGGAUCAACGUUUCAAAUGUUUCAUUUGUGUUUGCAGUUUAGCUUAUCUUGCUUUAGGAUUUUGUCCUUGUAGAUCUUAUAGCUUCAUACCAAUAUAUUCUUUAUCUACCCUUCCAACGUCUUCUUUCUAUGAAUUAUAUUGUCAUAUCUCCUAUUGUAUGAGUUGGUGCCAAAUGAAAUGAUUAAUUCUCUCUCUCUCUCUCUCUCUCUCUCUCUCUCUCUCUCUCCUCCCCCCCACCCCCCUCUCUUGUGAUGUCUGCUAAAAUUGAGAUCAAAGAUUUUUUUUAUAGCAAUUACUAAAUUUUAUCUUUCAUUCAUAAAUAUUUAGCAUAGCUGCAUUAGUGCUUCCAUUUGCUAUUCAUUUUUAUGGGAAACUUGUGGAUCUUGAAGUUGUAAAACUUUUUAAUAAUAUUAAUAUGCCAAGAAUGUACCAUGAAAAUAAAUGUUAUGUUAGAUUAAAAGUUUAAUAUGUAUUUUUGGACUUUGAAUUUUGAACAUAUAAUUAGUGUUAACCUUGCAAUUGUCUCAAUGUUAUGGCUAAUCUGUUUAUUAAUUGAAAUGGAUUGAUAAUUUCUCAUAGGAUGAUAGUUGUCUUGGCUUUUAUUUAAAAAAAAUGCAAUUCUUGUAUGACUUCCACCUGGUUUAGUAAUAUACAUAAACCUAUGCUAUAAUACAGCGAUUAUGACAACAAUAAAUUGCACUAUCAUAUGGGUGACUUUCUAUUUCCAACUAAUCGAUUGUGAUGGUUGCAAUGAAAAGAAACUUUUGUUUCAUCAGUAAACAUAAUUAUGUAAUAGUGUCUUUCUUAAUGUUUUCUGAAGGCAAUUAUCCAUUACGCUUCCUACAUUGUGAUUCGUGUUGAAUCAACUUACAUGGUAACAAGGACCCAAGACUCUUAUCUUUUCAAACUCUAAAUUAGUUGACAUGUUGUGGAAGUCUUUGAACAUAUAUCACAUAUAUGCACGAAACUAACUCAUUGAUCUUUUAUUGCAAUCUAUUUUAUAUGAGGAAGAUAUUGGAAUUUAGAGAUGCAUUUCUGUGCUUUACUACCAUAUGGGUUCAUGUUCCAACCUGUUAUUUUGAUUAUGAUGAGAUUUUAGUCCUAUCUUUCUUAGAACUUGCAAAUAUACUCUUACAUGGUUAGGUUACAUGGAAAAUUGUCUUAUAUUCGAAUGGUUUUACAUGAAUCGUCACAUUUAUCAAACUCUCUCUUUAUGUGUUUCAGACACCAGAAAUUUAUUGCUUGUUAGUUGUCUGCAACGUGUUUUCCCCUACAUGCUAUUUCUGGUUCAAUCUGGCAGAAUGCAGAGGGACAAUUAUCUUUUCUGAGACAUGCUGUGUCUGCACCACCUGAUGUAUUUACAUUUGCACAUUGUUCAAGGCACCUGACAUACACAGAUUCAACUAAUCUUUAUAAUGGAGUUGGUAAUCAGGCAUGGUCCUGCAUAGACCUUUUGGAUGUAUUAUGCCAAUUAGCUGAGAGUGGCCAUGCACGCCCUGUCCGGUUAAUUAUUGAGCACCCUCUUAAUCAAUUUUCCAAUGUUUUACAUCUUGGAGUUGCUCAGAUUAAUUCUGCCUAUAAUCUCCUCCAGUACGAAGUAUCUUCCGCUGUUUUCCCUAUUUUUAAAAAUUAUCCUAUGAAGAACAGCAUUCUCCAUCAUUUAUGGAAAGUUAAUCCUAGCUUGCUCUUGCGUGGACUUUCAGAUGCUGGAACAAAUCCUAACAGCAUUUUUAGAAUUCUUGUCAAUUGUCAGGAACAGAAGGUUUAAGUAGCAUGAAGCACCAGGUUCAAGAUCUUUUCCCACUGAGAUCAUUGCGUCAAUUUAAGAUAUUAAAUUUGGAAAGGAUGGAAGACACAUUCUCAGUCGUGAUUACAUGCCUCUUAAGCUAUGGGAUAUAAGCAUGCACAGUGGUCCAGUUGCAACAUUCCAGGUCAAUGAAUAUUUAAGGCCAAAGGGGAAUACUAUUGACAAUUAUGUAUUUCAUUCUAAAUUUGUUAGUAACAUUGGAUGCUACACCUUUGAGUUUCUUCUUCUUUUUAUUUUUCAUUUUGAUAAUAAGUUGUAGUCUAAUAUAUAUAUUUUAUUGAUUGUCUAAUUUAAAACAGUUAUGCGAUCUGUAUGAAAAUGAUUCAAUUUUCAGCAAAUUUGAAUGCUAUCUUAGUGGUGAUUGACAACGGGUGGCCAAUGAUUCUUACAUGUAUUUGUUUCUUGUUAGCGCAAAUUAUCACAUUGCUACAAAAAAUUGGAUUAAUGAAGACAUGCCUAUUUCCAUGGCACCAGCAAUCUUUUCCGCAUAUUUGGUUGUUCUACUAGAAGCAACGAGACAAAAACUUUGUAAGCCAGUAAGAAUCCUACGAGAUCUCCCCCCUCUCAAAAUCCUCAGCUGCUCGCUCUCUCGCCUCCCCAAUCGAGCCGAGGAUGAGGAGAUGAAGCGAGGAGGAGCUCGAGGGCUCAGCGCCCGAGCAACGGAGGCAGCGGAAACGGCGAGCUCAGGCCCUCUUCUCUCCUUGCCCGAGCAACGAAGGUCGACAAAAGAAGGUAAAGGUUGAAACUUUGAACCUCUUCUUAUCUUUUGAAUGCUUCGAUUCCGGCUGCUUCAGCUGAUUAUAAUAUUCACAAGGGUUAUGAUUCAUAAGGUGAGAUAUUUUUGAGUUCUUUGAUAUACUUUGAUGGGUACAUGGGGAGCAUCCGCUCUCUAAGAUUUCCGUACACAGAGCUACAAUGGCCCUUCACGAUGCAGCUUAAAUCAAGGCUUCUCCUAACCUUCUCGGUUUGAAGUACUUCUGUCUGUGAGCCAGAGAGUGGAAGAGAGCAGCCUCCGUUACUCUGUACUUCC